rnacentral:rRNA from 1 species
AUGCCUGGGAGGUCGACCAUGGAAGCCAUUUUCUUGGUACGACAACUUAUGGAGAGAUAUAUGGAGCAUAAGAAGGACUUGCAUAUGGUGUUCAUUGACUUGGAGAAGGCCUAUGAUAAGAUACCGCGGAAUGUCAUGUGGUGGGCCUUGGAGAAACACAAAGUCCCAGCAAAGUACAUUACCCUCAUCAAGGACAUGUACAAUAAUGUCGUGACAAGUGUUCGAACAAGUGAUGUCGACACCGAUGACUUCCCGAUUAAGAUAGGACUGCAUCAGGGGUCAGCUUUGAGCCCUUAUCUUUUUGCAUUGGUGAUGGAUGAGGUCACAAGGGGUAUACAAGGAGAUAUCCCAUGGUGUAUGCUCUUUGCGGAUGAUGUGGUGCUAGUUGACGAUAGUCGGACGGGGGUAAAUAGGAAGUUAGAGUUAUGGAGACAAACCUUGGAAUCGAAAGGGUUUAGGCUUAGUAGAACUAAAACCGAGUACAUGAUGUGCGGUUUCAGUACUACUAGCUGUGAGGAGGAGGAGGUUAGCCUUGAUGGCCAGGUGGUACCUUGGAAGGACACCUUUCGGUAUUUGGGGUCAAUGUUGCAGGAGGAUGGGGGUAUUGAUGAAGAUGUGAACCAUCGAAUCAAAGCCGGAUGGAUGAAGUGGCGCCAAGUUUCUGGCAUUCUCUGUGACAAGAGAGUGCCACAAAAGCUAAAAGGCAAGUUCUACAAGACGGCGGUUUGA